rnacentral:lncRNA from 1 species
ACAGACAGAGACAACUCUUCUGUCCCUGCCCGCUCUGCCUCUUCUGUGUGCCCCUAUCACUGCAGGCCCAGCAUUUUUUCACCCUCGCUUAGCAGUCUUGAGCAAGGAAAGACCAGGCCUGAAUCCAGUCCCUUUACCGGUACCUAAAAUCCAAGAGGACAGGGCCGAGGGCUGGGAUGUUUCUUCCGUGCUCGGCCCUUACGUCUCCUUCACAUUUAUCUCCGCUUCGUGGAAACCCUGUGAGGCUGAUUAAUUUCCCCUUCCUAGAGGCGAGGAGAAGGAGAGGCGAGAACUCGACUGCAGCUGCACAGCUAGUCGGGAUUUGACCUGCCUCCCCCUGCAUGAUCCUCAGAGGUCAAGUCACCUUCCUCCCUCUCUCCCCACCCCCCCACGUCCCAUAGGCACACACUCAGAGGCCAGACACUCCUCCCUUGUGGCUCAGCUCCUGACCCCCAGCCUGAGGUCCAGAGGCCUAAAUAGCACAAGCAGGGCUGCCUCCCUUCUUGGGGAGGGGAAGGCAGCUGUGGCAGUUGUGGCGGGCGGAGAGAAAUUUCCCCUUUCCGUAGAUUGGAUCAGUCACUCUGAGAAUUGAUGGCAACGGCUUCAUCACGAAGAUCUAAUGCUUUAAUUAUGUUGUGACAUGACCUGACACGGGGGUGGCAUUUGAUGGAUUCUCUGGUGUCAUCAGCAUGGCCCUGACAUAGAGAAGUGGCAGAAGGCAGGGGGUGGGGGAAGAGGAAGGGCUCCCGGUGGGAGAUGCGUCCUCUCAGGCUGCCUCCACCUCUCCCUGCUCCUCCCCGUCCAGGGCAGACCUAGCCACCGAGAAGGGGAAGCAGCUUCUGUGCGGAAGAGCUGAUGUGCCCUUCCGGGCUGGACUGCAUCCGGGCAGGGGGCCCGGUGUGGGUGCAUAUACACACGUGUGCACACGUGAGCACAUGCCUAGAUGUGGAGGGACAUGUCUGAGCAGGUGAGGGAUCCAAAGCCCUGUUAGAGAAGCUGCAGCUGAAUUGCUGUCUGGCCUGCAAAGAAGGUGCAGGAGGUCAAGGGCAGAAGUGGGUACCAGGUUGGUCUGCAGGUCCUGGGGCAGAGGGAGCAGCUGCAUUCAAGUAGCCGCGCAGGGCAGAGCUGGGACCAGGGGGGGCCAUCUCCAGGGAGGCAGGCUUAGCUCAGCCCAUGCCUGGCCACAGAAUGGGCGGCCCCGGGAGGCAGUGAGCUGCCUGUUCUGGGGGAGAGCUGCCAGGGCUGCCAGGCAGGGUUCCUCUCCUGGGUGGAUGCUCUGUAGCUGGUGACCUCUGAGGCUACGAUUCCCUGUGUCUGUGGGCGAGCCAGGAAGUGUGUGUAUCUUUUCCCCAGCCCAGCUGCCUGCUCAGGACCUCGCUGUGCCCUCGAUGUGGCAAGAAUAAGAAGCGAGCCGCUCCUGUCAGCCCAGGCUCUGGCAGGAUGCUGGCGUGCGUGGCCCCUCCUCCUGGCAGGAUGCUGGCGUGCACGGCCCUCCUCUGACCGCUCUCCCCAUCACAUUCCUGUGAUGAGCCUUCCUCCCUAAGGGGGCUCCAGGGAGUCCCACUGCUAGAAGAGGCUAGAAGAGGAAGAGGGUGGGGAUGCCUGCUGGCAGGGCCCCUCGGGGCAGGUGCCGUCCCUUCCCGCGCAGGGCCUCGCAGGGGCCUCAGGACCCCCCGUAACCAGGAGCGAGCGGGUAUCCCCAUCUCACAGCGGAAGACAGUGAGAGAAAACCCAGAGACACCCAGGUGCCUGCCCGAGGCUACACCCUAGGAAGGAGUGGACGGCACUGUUUUAGCAGAUCGUUAUGAAGCGACUCCUGUGUACGCAGCAGACCCCGCGGGAACUUCAGAUCCAGACGGAAAUCCCUGUCCUCAGGACGAGCGUGUCCCCACAGCUGCCUCUCUCUCGUUCAAAUGUCACUGCUCCUUCCACCCUGCCGUUGCCGGGGCCGGGAGUCAGCAGUCCAGAGUGGGGUGAGAACGCUAGAGCAGGUGUCAGGAGACUGGGGUCCGGGGACUGGCUGCCUCAGUCACUAGCCCUGGUCCUGGGGGACAGCAGAGCCCAAGAAACCCGAGACUAGAAGGGACCUUUGCAGCUCUGUUCAAUGCUGCCCUCCUCAUCCAGCCCCACCCUCUCCACCCUCGCGGUGCCGGAGAAGCUGAGGACCAGAGAGCACAGGUGGGCCUGGGGCACUCAGUGUGUAAGCACAGGAGCCAGGAUCAUGAACUUGGGCUCCUGACUCCUGGGUCAAGGCUUGACCGUGCCAGGCAUGGGCGUGAGGUCUUCUGGGGGGGCUUAAACUUCUUCCCCAAAGAUGAGGUAAAGAAAGGCCAGCCGGAGAGGAAAUUCCCAAAGCCCAGGAGGAUUUUCACAGCUGAGAGAAAGCUCUGAAAGUCCACGCUAGGCCUAGAUCCACCCAACCACAGCCUCUGGGAAGGCGGCAGGAGGCCUCAUUGGCUCUGUCCGAGGCUGGUUGCUGCCUGGGCGGUGUCUCUGAGAUGUCAAGGCGGCGAGGAGGCAGGAGCCCUGGCCUGGCUGUUCUCUAAGAACCUGGAUGCUCUGAAACGAUGCAUGAGGAAGACAUGAGAACAGAAGGACCUCACAGACUCAGGCGCCGCAGCAACGUGUGUCUGCGCCUCUGGCCUGGGCAGUAAGUUUUCAGCUGUCCCACGCGUGCGGACCUGAGAGUGUGCCCGCCUGAGGGCUUGGGAAGAGGAGCUGGGUGGCAGAGGAGAUAGGUGUCUCCCAGAGGGGUCUGUGUCUGGAUGGCCCUGGUAUUCUAGUGUGACAGCCUGGGUGUCCCUCCCAGGACUUAGUCGUGGUAGAGGGUUCUGAAGGUACAUCCUUAGCGGCGUGAGGAAGUGUGGCCAGGUAGAGCCUUAUCCGGCCAGAUCUUCCUGUCCGAGCACCCAUGCAUGAAGCCGCCAGGCGUGCCAGCGCCGUGCCCCAUUGUAGCCACAUUUGCACGGAAGCGUGUGGCCCAGGUUGAGACUGUUCCGGCGUAGCCUUGGCCCCAAGGCCUGGGCUCUGCAGCAGGGGUCCUGCAUCACGAGGGUACCGUGCAUCUUCCCCAAACCAUCACAGCGGUGUGGGUAGAGGGUGCUGGGAACUGGGGCCAAGACCCCCUUGGGCAGACCCAGCCUCUCUGUCUCUAGGCGCCCGGAAGCUCCCGGGGCUUCUCUCGGAGGGAGGGAAGGGAAAAGGUAUCAUCGCAACCCUCCCUUCUGGGCUUCGGGGGGUGGGUGGAGAUGUCCCUUCCCGCCGCCUCGUUUGGCAAAUGGAGCAACUGAGGUUCAGCCAGAAAGGAACCGCCUCAGAUGGGAUCCCAGGACUAUGUUCCAACCCUGAGAUAAAGCCGAUGGGGUGCAAGUGAGCAAACCAUGUUUUGCAGUUUCCAGUACAGGCCUUGCGGUGCCCAUGUGACAGGUGCGCAUUGGCAGUACACGGUAGAAGUGCCCCGGCCUGGGGCUCCCGUCCUGACUCCAUCACUCACCUGAUGUGUGACCUUGGGUUAGUCACUCCCUCCUCUGGGCUUCUUUUUCUCACCUAUAAACUGAGAGAAUGGAUACGCUUGCUCUUCAAGUGCAUGGACCUUCUCGCGCCUUGAGGCUGGGGUCAGUGCAGUGCCUGCGGGGUGAUCCUUCCUCAGCGCUUAAUUGCGGCUGGGCCUUAAGCACAGCCCAGAGGGGAGGAGUGGUGAAUUUGGUGUCACAUGGUGAAUUGGCGAGAGCCAGGAUGAGAGGAAGGGAGGCCUGCUGACCCCUCACUGGUGCCCCUCUCCUCACCCUCUCUCUGGGCCUGUAAGUAUCAGGGUCUCAUUGCUACAGCCCCCCGCCGCCAAAGCUGCCUUGCAUUUCCUGAGGUCGCGCGCCUCUCAUGUCCAUGCCAGGCAGAGCCCGUGCUCGAGUCUGUUUUCGCCUUUCCUUUAUUUGGUCCCAGGAGGAGCUAGUAGGAGCUCCCUUUUAUUUUAUUUUGCUUUUUAGGGCCACACCCACCACGUAUGGAAGUUCCCAGGCUAGGGGUUCCAGUCUGAGCUACAGCUGCCAGCCUACGCCACGGCCACAGCAAAGCAGGAUCCAAGCCACGUUGGCAGCCUACACCACAGCUCGUGGUAACGUCAGAUCCCCGCCCCACUGAGGGAGGACAGGGACCGAACCCAUGUCCUCAUGCAUACUGGUCGGAUUCGUUUCCGCUGCUCCACGGUGGGAACUCCGGCCCCAUUGUGUAGAUAGGGAAACUGAGGCCCAAGGGAUUAGGAAAUAACAGUGAGUACUGUGUUGAGCUUUCCUUGAGGAACGCAGGGUCCUGUGUUGGACACUCAUUGAGGUGAGCAGAAGGUGACUAGUCCAGCCUGCCAGAUACCCCCUGAAAGAGCACGGAGACCCGCGCGGGCUCUGCCGGCCUGAUUUAGACAGCAAUUUGCAUACAAUUUACCCAGAAAGCUGCACUGUGAAAAAUAUAAUUACUUUUUUAAUAUUCUCACUCUGAUGUAAAUGCUUACCGCCCGGUAAUGAAUUACUUGCUUAAUGAAGAUAAACCUGAAUUGGAGAUGCACUUCGGAGAGCGGCUGGGGCAGCCGACUUGACGCGAGCAUUUGCAGCUGUUAAUCUCUGAAAUUGAUGCCCUCGUUGAGGGAGAGCGUGAUUUUUUCAAAGGCACGCAUAGACCGAGAGUCUUUUGAUCUUGAACUAGUAGCCACGUCUUUGAUUCCAGGCGAUGUACCUGGAUCUCUUCUUCUAAAUGGCCUCUAAGCUGUCUGCCGGCUGCUGAUGACGGCAGGGGGAGCCAGGCUGGAGUCAGACCCUGGGAGGAGAAAAAAAAGCCUAUGUGCAGGUGUGGUCACUGGAAACUACCUGUUCUUGUGUCUGAUGCUGGUCAUUUCCAGGCACCAAUUAGAGCAGAGGCCAAGACUUUUCAAGACCCUGUUGCCAGCAUUGUCUCCACACAUACUCUCGUGCCAGGCCUGGGGACUCCAGACAACAAGUUAACAGUUCAGUAAGUCUGCUCUGACAAGGUGUUCUAGGCUCCAAGGACACAGCUAUGAAUAAGCCCAACGAGUCACUGCCACAAAGACCUGAAAUUCCGCAUGGUGGAGGCCAUGCAGAAAUAAUGAGUUCACUGAUAAUAAAGACAAGGUCAGAUAGUUAUAAAUGAUAUACAGUUUCACAGAUUUAUUAUUUUUGGCCACACCUGUGGCAUGUGGAAGUUCCAGGGCCAGGGAUCAAAUCCGUGCCAUGGCAGCGACCUGAGCUGCUGAAGUGACAACUGCGGUGCCAUUCUUAAUGGAUAGUAUGAUAUAGAAUGGCUGAGGACAUUAUUUUGACUUGCUGGUGAAAAAGACUUCCCUAAGGAGCUGACGCAUGGGCUGAAGUCUAAAUGACAUUAAGGAAUCAGCCCCAUAAUAUCAGGAAUGUGGAUCAAGUGAGAUCCGUAAAGCAGGCAGGACCCAGAUCAGAAAGAGCCUUACAGAGUAUGAAUGAGACUUUGGAUUUUAUUCUUAGUUCGAGGAGAAGCCGUUAGAAGAUUCCAUAAGGGGAGUAAUAUUAUUUGUCGACAUUUAAAAAGCCCAUUCUGUAUGAAAAAAUAGAAAAUCUGGGAGGCUCUAUGUCUACUAAAGAAGUUGAAUUUAUAAUAUGCAAAUUUCCCACCUAGAUAAUUUCACUGGUCAGUUCUGUCAAAUACUUAAGGAGUAAGUAACGCCAACGGUAUACAAACUCUUUCAGAAACUAGAAGAGAAGGGAACAACCCCCCCCCCGCCCCACAUUCAUUUAGGAGCCCAGCAUAAAUGAUUCUACUGGCUAUGUAUUUCUGCCCAACUAUCCAAAAAGGUAGUGACUUAAAAAAAUAAUUUAUUGGAGUUCCCAUCGUGGCGCAGUGGUUAACGAAUCCGACUGGGAACCAUGAGGUUGCGGGUUCGAUCCCUGGCCUUGCUCAGUGGGUGAAGGAUCCGGCGCUGCCGUGAGCUGUGGUGUAGGUCACAGAUGAGGCUUGGCUCCCACGUUGCUGUGGCUGUGGUGUAGGCCGGUGGCUACAGCUCCGAUUAGACCCCUAGCCUGGGCACCUCCAUUUGCUGUGGGUGUGACCCUGAUAAGACAAAAAGAAAAAAAAUUGUAUGUGUGUAUGUGUGACUGGGUCAAUUUGCUGUAUGGUAGAAAAUUAACAGAACACUGUAAACCAGCUAUAAU